UCCGUAUUCUCCCUCAUACACUAAUCUUGUGUUUCCCUUGUUUUCCGGGGUAUUUGAUUUUUCCGUCGCACGCUGGUAGGUAGGUGUUUUACCCUAGCUUUUGAUUUGGGGUAUUAAGUUUUGAUGUGGUGUUGACUUGAGGACAUUGUUUGGGGGCAGCAGCUUCGCCUAAUUCCCACUAUCAUUGCGGGCAACGAGCUUCUCCAAUGAUGAAUUCAUAGUUGUGCAUCUUGGACUCUGUUGAGACAGCAUCACGACGCGCGAUCUAUUUCAGAUACGAUCUCUAUUUUUGAGG